CCCAGCCCGCGGGACAGACAGGCACGUGGCCCUGCAGGGUACAGAGAGCCGGGAGCUGCCUGAGCCCCACUUCCCUGAGAAGGGCCCAGCUGGCCAGAGCCAGCGUGACGCAGAUCCCGAGGCCGGGCCUUCACGGGUCCAGAGCGCCACACAAUUGUUUGGGGGCGAGGACUCACGCGGGCGAGAUAAGCGCGCUCUGUCCGUGGUGUUUGAAAGGUCAGUUGCUACAGCUUUCAGGACACAUCCUGUUGCCCUUCCAGGUCCCUGUUCCUCCUGGCUGGAAAUCAGCAGUGGCGCUGCCUCGGAGGCUGGCGGGGGGGCCCUCCGAGCCCCACAUCUCCCCUGGCUUCUCCCUGCCCAGAGACACCCGCAUGGCUCCGUCCCUUGUCCACAGACGGCGCCCCAGCACCACAGGGGCUCUGUGCUCUCCCCGCGCUGCAGUCAAGCUGGCCGUGCAGCGGUCCGGGCUGGAGUGCAGGGUCGGGCAGGCUGUGAGGUCACGCAGGACCUGGGCGCUUCCUGUCUCUGCUCGGGGUCCUCCGAGGGGCUCUUCCCCAGAGAGCCGCUGCUGUGGUUCUCAGAGGUGCUGUGCCUGGCUCUUCUCUGCCUGCCCACUCUGAGCCCACCAGACGCCGACCCCUCCCCUCGGGGGACCAGCCCUCUGGACCGGGGGUGUGCAGGAGCCCGUGGGGAUGCCUCGUGGCCUGGAGGUGAGGCUGGCAAAGCUUCCCCAGAGGCCACUUCCACAUGCAGCAACCUGGCGGCCGGCUCGGGAGGACACUGGGCCAGGAGCCUGCAGGCACGUUCCUGCCUGUGUGACGGCCACACAGGUCAGCUCUCACUCAAAGCAUCGCUGUUCGGAUAGGCCAGGGCCUUGGAGGGAACGGAGAAGAGAGAGCCUGAGUGCAAACACAGCCGUGCCCCGGACGCAGCCCCUCUGCACACAAGGGCGUCCGGCCUCCAGGUGCACGCGGGCUCUCGUGGCCAAGGCAGGUCCGCUCCCCUCAGCCUCCUGUGACUCCUGGGUACAUCCGUCCAGCCAGCUUUGCCAGCCCAGGCCUGGGUGGACGAGGAGCCCGGUGGUGGGGACGCCAGACCUGAGCUGUCCACAUGGUUGUCGCUCCACAGGGAGGCAGCAGGACCAGUGAUAGGGACAUGCCAGACAGAUGUGACAGGCCAGACCCAAGAGGCCCCUCUAGGCUGGAUGGUGACACCGUAUCACUCCUUCCCUUGUCCAAGGCACAGCUGCCCCCAGCACCACGUGGGGCUCUGUGCUCGCCCCACGCUGUGCGUCAAGCUGGCUCCCCCCUUCCUGGCCUGGGAGGCGACUGUGCUGGGCUCUGGAGGGCCCCAGAGGAGGGGAGCAUAAUGGAGAGACCCGCUGGGCCCGGCAGGCCUAACUGCACCAACCCAGGCCGCUCCUGGAGCCCUCUGCGGUCACUCGGGAAACAGGACGCUCAGUGGGGACAGGACACCGACUGGACGGUGAAGCUGGAACCUCGAUGGACCUUGGAAAGCGAGCCCCGGGUUGGCAGAGGGCUGUGCUCACGCCCAGCUCCACUUGGCCCCUUGCCUGGCUCGCCUGGGAGGUGGCGGGAUGGACACGGGCAAGAGCCCUGGAUGUCCACCCCAGGGCCCUCCUUGGUCUCACAUGGAGAAGGGACGUCUAGUGUCACUGCACCUGGGAAAGGCCCUGCUAGAGCGAGGGAAGGAAACCGUGCAGACUUGUGGAGAGAUUCCGUGGGGGUUUGGACUCCGUGAUGGAGUCCUGCGGCAGCGUCUGGACUGCUCGGGUGCCUGCACGGCCUUUAAACUCCACGCCAAGCAGCCACUGGACUAGGACUUUGUGUCUGAGCUGGACACAAUCAUCAAUUCCAAUUUGAUCUGAAAAUAAAUAUUUAUUUGGACUGAGAAAAUAAUAGCAUACCAAUCACAAGCUUACAAAGCUGAUUGCUGCGCCCCUUCCUUCCUCUUCCUGUGAAGGUGACCACACCGUUUCCUGAGGCAGAAUAGAAAGAGGAUUCUGACUCUCUUCCACCUGCAGAUCAGAACUCAUCUCUCGCCACGGACCUCAGACCGUGGAACACUGGUGUCGGACAUAGGCCCUGGCUUGGAUCCUGGGGGUUUGCCCCAUAGGUAAGGACUGUCGUCACCUCUGCUCUGCGUGGUCGCCAUCUAGCAUGGCUGAAGCUAUGCAUUGCGUUCAGAUGUGGUGCGAGAUCAUGUGCAGGACUUCCCCUUUGACCGACAAGUGUGAGGCCUGCGUUUCGCUCACAGCCUUCCAUCAGGACUUGAAGAGCCACCCACGCUUGCCUCCAGCCUCAUGCAGAACUUAUAGCACUUGCUGUCUAACCGGGGAGGAUUGGCACCUCCCAUGUGGAGUGUGGGUCUGCCAAGACCCCUCCAUUCCCCUUCUGUUCUGGCUCUCGUGCUCCCUGCGGCCUGCCUUCAAGUUCGUGGCACUGACCUCCUUGGAGGAUGGCCCCUUAGCUGUGUCUGAGCUGGCUCCCUUUCACUGCAUUGAUGCUUUAUCUUGAACAAGGUUCAACCUAACAGGCUUCUGUAUUUAAUUUAAAAAUUAUGUAUUGUGUCCACCUGCGUUUCCAUUUCCCCACAGAUCACUCUUCUUCUGCACUCAAAGCGCAUUUUAAAAAUUUAUAUGAACUCUUGCAAACGAAGGUGUUUUUUUGUUUGUGUGUGUGUGUGUGUGUGUGCGCGCACACACAGUAGCACUUUUAAAUAUCAGUGCAAUGGACCUUCCCUCUCCUCCAGGUUUCCAAGCAUGCGCCAUUUGUGAUUUUUAUGGUCAAGAGUUAGUGGACCUGGCUGACUGGCUUCCUGAAGCCCUGUCCCCGUCACUGCGGCUGCACCUGUGCUUCCUGUGAUGCCUGCAGCAGUCGUCCUGAAAUCCAUCCCUGAUGAAGGCCAGGGAGGGUGGCUCUCAGCUCUCCCGCAGUCGGAGAUGGCUUUGUGUUUUGAUAUGUGUCCAUUUUAAAUGUAGGUCCUACAUUUUGUAAAUGAAAGAUAGAACACAGCUAGAGAGAGUCUAGGGCCGCAAACGACAUAAUAAAAACACGGAAGCCAGGAGCACUGUGCAGCCAACAGGCAGGCACACCCUCUGGUGUGCAGAGAGACAGGUCUGAAAUUCAGACUCAAAGUGACUUUCAUCACACUCAAAGGGGGUGGCCUACUGUUUAAUAAUUUGACGGUAGAAGUUAUAAAUUCAGGAAAUAAUAAAGAAGUAAUACAUACAGAGAGAAGAGUUUAAAUAAAAGUCUAAAUGUUCAGUUAAUAAAGGAAGAUUCCUAACUCCCUGAACCAGUUUACCCUUCAUGAAUCUAUCACUUUUUUAAGGAAGACCGAAUGAUCUCUCCAAAUGCACUGUUUAAAAGAGAGAACCAUUUUUGAUAUUCUAUUUUACCUUUUUCUGAUGUUUUCUUUUUUGUGUUUUUAUUUGGGUGUCAUGGUCAGACAUGAGUGGGUUUCAUCUUCCCGUGUAAAGGUGAUGUUAAUUUGUUUCCUCUUAUUCUGCAGAG
rnacentral:lncRNA from 1 species